rnacentral:rRNA from 1 species
AAGUCGUAACAAGGUUUCCGUAGGUGAACCUGCGGAAGGAUCAUUACAGUAUUCCUUUGCCAGCGCUUAACUGCGCGGCGAAAAACCUUACACACAGUGUCUUUUUGAUACAGAACUCUUGCUUUGGUUUGGCCUAGAGAUAGGUUGGGCCAGAGGUUUAACAAAACACAAUUUAAUUAUUUUUACAGUUAGUCAAAUUUUGAAUUAAUCUUCAAAACUUUCAACAACGGAUCUCUUGGUUCUCGCAUCGAUGAAGAACGCAGCGAAAUGCGAUAAGUAAUAUGAAUUGCAGAUUUUCGUGAAUCAUCGAAUCUUUGAACGCACAUUGCGCCCUCUGGUAUUCCAGAGGGCAUGCCUGUUUGAGCGUCAUUUCUCUCUCAAACCCCCGGGUUUGGUAUUGAGUGAUACUCUUAGUCGGACUAGGCGUUUGCUUGAAAAGUAUUGGCAUGGGUAGUACUAGAUAGUGCUGUCGACCUCUCAAUGUAUUAGGUUUAUCCAACUCGUUGAAUGGUGUGGCGGGAUAUUUCUGGUAUUGUUGGCCCGGCCUUACAACAACCAAACAAGUUUGACCUCAAAUCAGGUAGGAAUACCCGCUGAACUUAA